GUGCCAGCCGCCGCGGUAAGACGAACCGUGCAAACGUUGUUCGGAAUCACUGGGCUUAAAGGGCGCGUAGGCGGUCGAUCCAGUCCGGGGUGAAAUCCUGCAGCUCAACUGUAGAAGUGCCUUGGAUACUGAUCGGCUCGAGGGAGGUAGGGGUCAUUGGAACUUCUGGUGGAGCGGUGAAAUGCGUUGAUAUCAGAAGGAACGCCGGUGGCGAAAGCGAAUGACUGGACCUCUUCUGACGCUGAGGCGCGAAAGCCAGGGGAGCAAACGGGAUUAGAUACCCUUGUAGUCC
rnacentral:rRNA from 1 species